rnacentral:rRNA from 1 species
GCAUAUCAAUAAGCGGAGGAAAAGAAACCAACAGGGAUUGCCCCAGUAACGGCGAGUGAAGCGGCAACAGCUCAAAUUUGAAAUCUGGCCCCCCGGCCCGAGUUGUAAUUUGCAGAGGAUGCUUUUGGUGAGGCACCUACCGAGUCCCCUGGAAUGGGGCGCCAUAGAGGGUGAGAGCCCCGUAUGGUAGGACGCCGAACCUCUGUAAAGCUCCUUCGACGAGUCGAGUAGUUUGGGAAUGCUGCUCUAAAUGGGAGGUAAAUUUCUUCUAAAGCUAAAUACCGGCCAGAGACCGAUAGCGCACAAGUAGAGUGAUCGAAAGAUGAAAAGCACUUUGAAAAGAGGGUUAAAAAGUACGUGAAAUUGUUGAAAGGGAAGCGCUUGUGACCAGACUUGCGCCGGGCGGAUCCUCCAGCGUUCUCGCUGGUGCACUCCGCCCGGUUCAGGCCAGCAUCGGUUUUCGCCGGGGGACAAAGGCUUCGGGAACGUGGCUCCUUUCGGGGAGUGUUAUAGCCCGUUGCGUAAUACCCCGGCGGGGACCGACGACCGCGCUUCGGCAAGGAUGCUGGCGUAAUGGUCAUCAGCGACCCGUCUUGAAACACGGACCGAGGAGUCAAGCAUUAGUGCGAGUGUUUGGGUGUAAACCCCGCACGCGUAAUGAAAGUGAACGUAGGUGAGAGCUUCGGCGCAUCAUCGACCGAUCCUGAUGUUUUCGGAAGGAUUUGAGUAGGAGCAUUAACGCUUGGACCCGAAAGAUGGUGAACUAUACUUGAAUAGGGUGAAGCCAGAGGAAACUCUGGUGGAGGCUCGCAGCGGUUCUGACGUGCAAAUCGAUCGUCAAAUUUGAGUAUAGGGGCGAAAGACUAAUCGAACCAUCUAGUAGCUGGUUUCAGCCGAA